ensembl:lncRNA
AGGAGAUGACUUUUCUUGCAGUUUCAGUACUCUGUCCACGCUUGGAAGAGGACUGACACCUUUUCAAGGAAGCCAAAAUCAGUGGUGCAGUGUGAAACGGCUUCCGUGAUCUUUUUGCUGCACCCUUAGAAACUUCACCAUCUUCAAACUCCACUUUCAUGGUUCUGUUAAUUCUCAAGGAGCAGCAACUCGACCAGUUCUCCCAGGAGCAAAACCCCUGCCCCAGAAACACCUCAGGCCUGAGAAGGAAGUGCCCUCUCAGAUGGACUCUUGCAUGUUAAGAGUGUGCCUUCAUAUCCUGGUGCAAAUCACAUGUACCCAAGGACUCUGGCUUUGUCACAACACCUUGCCAUCACCAUGCCAGCAAUGGCUUCCACAGAACUUUAAACCUGGUAACCAGAGACUAUUGGUAGCUCCAGGAUUUGUCAUCCUUCCUGCCUGGUUGCUGAGACUCCAUUUUGCUGCCACGCACGGAGAAGAAAGGCAGGCUUCAUGGAGAAUGUGUUUCGACACAGCCUCCGAUCGCCAGAAUACAGUCUGAGCAGUAGAAAACAUCAUGGUGUAUAUUUGAGAUUGCCUAUCGUGAAGAGAAGCCUAACGGUGAAGUUUUAUUUUUCAUCAUUAUCUUUCACAUAUUCAUUAUCACCCACCCUUUUUCUUGCAUGUUUAAAUACUUAAAAGUUUUAGCCGUAGGUUAGUAGUGUCCUUUAACAGUGUUUUAAAGUGGUGACUGCUUUCAGAAAUUAUUUCCAUUGAAUUACAAAGUACUAUCCAAUUCUUACUGUUAGUGUUAAACUAAUUGUGAAGUAACGUAGUGUAAAAUAUUUCUUGACUGUGAACUUCCCUUACGACACUGUGAACGAGAGGCUCCUCAGAACUGGAGUAUUUGUAUCAUAGUUCAUCCUGUUCAUCUUCAAUCUUCUAUUUUAAUGUCAUAUAUAAUUUCAUUUUAUUGAUUGGCCUUUAACAAUCACACAAAAAGAUAUACAAAUUCAAAGAAGAUACGUAAUUGGCUAUUUAAUACAAAACAAGUUUUCCUUUUUUUUUUUUUUUUUGGUGGAAUCAGAAAGCUUGUCAGUCACUCGUGUUUUAGAGUAAUUGCUUUUGAAAUGGUGCAUUUGUGCUUCUGGACUAUUUUGAAGCAUCACUUCAGUUUACCUCAUAACAAUCCAUCCUCCAUACAUUUGAAUUCAAGUUGUUUUGUGUCAAAUUUAUAGUUGUCAAUUGAUCUUCAAGCUGCAGAGGGCUUAGAAUGGGCCAUUGUCUGCAGCCCCAGCAUGUGCACACUGACGUUUGCCAUCACUGCAAGCAGAAGGCUGGAGAUGUUGGCCAACAACAACAGCGCUCAUGGAGAGCACAGCGGUGUGGGUUAACAAUUCGUGGAUGAAGUCCCUGACGCUCGUUUGGCUGUUUAGUAAAGCUUGUGAACAACUUGUUGGCAGUGUGUACUAUGCUCUCUUGCUAUAUAUACUAUCUAUAAAUGUAGGUGUUAAGGAUAAGUAAUCUGAAAUUUAUUCUCUAGUAUCAGAAUUUUAUUAAGUUUCCUUUCAUUCAUCUGACUUAUUUUGUUGCUGUUGAUCAAACUUAUGUUAAUUGAAUACUUUAAAUUGUUUUUUGCAUUUUCCAACAAAAAUGCCUUUAUUCGUAAGAAAGAGAAAAGCAAAGGAAUUAAAUUUGUAUCUGAAGAAGUUAGAAAGGGAGCAAAAUAAAGGGUAUAAAUAAAAAACAGAAUUGUUAAGCAAAGCCAAUAGUGAAGCCUUUGAAACAAAUUGGUAAAAUUGACUUUUGGCCCAAAUUUGCAGUGUUAAUUAAAAAAUCAAGGAAGAUAUGAGCUCCCAUUGUUAGGGAAACUUAGAACUAGCUAAGGUCAUCGUGCUAGGAUAUGAAAGGGAGGAAGUUUACAUACAUUUCUGAAGGGUCAGUUUAGUUUGAGCAAUGAGGUAUUUGUAUGAGAUAUUGGCAAGUGGAGAAUUAGUUUGAUUAAAUCAUGUGAGCUAGCACAGUUAACUUGCAGGUGCACAAAACAAGAGGGGCACAUCUAUAGAGUGCAGUCUGGAUUUCUCUUUAAGUUUGCAGGUACCUCUUGGACUCCUGAAUUGAUCCAGUUGUCAUCCACCGCAGACAUCUAACAUCAGAUAGAAUUCGAAGAUUGCGACAGAGAACACUCUACUGGAAAGACCUGGGUAGAAAUGAAAGCAGCCUGUAGAGGUGAAGAGCCAGAUGGGAACCACACUACAUUUUCAUUUAAAGAAAGAAUGCACAUCUGGUGGGACUGGAAGUUCUUUGUUGUUUCAGAUUGUAGAAUGCUAUCAAAUUGGUCUGUGGAAAUUUGCAUUGUUUUAUUUCUUUGUGUAAUCAGUUUAAGUAAUAGGGGAUAUAUAAUCAUAAGUAUUUUAGGGUGGGAGGGACUAUUAAGUAAUCUUAAGUGGGUGGGAUUAGUUUAAAAGUUAGCAUGAUAUUAUGUAUUAGAUAUCUCUAUAAGUGGACAUGUGUACUUACUUGUGAUCCUUUCCCCUGUGAUUGCUACCUGUAAUGACUUCAAAUAAACUUGGAGGGAACUGCAGGGGGAUCAACCUAUUUAGGGCGAAUUGGACAUGAAUAAAACCUAGUGGGAGAAAGUUCAAAGGUGAUUGGAUACAUAAUUUAGUGGAGGCUCUUUGCCCUGGGUAUUAACUCCAGGGAUGGAGAUUGUGAGCAAAGCCUUUAGGGAGUUACAGGAUGGAUAGAUACCCUUUGAGAAAUUGUUGCUGGCAUUAAACUGAUGAUGAUGGAUGGUAAAUAUUCAUGGAAGUUGUAGGAAAAUGAUGAGUAAGAGCCCUUGCUUAUACCCCCUUCAGUAGCCCUCCUCCUUACCCUGCCUCUUCUCACUACCCCUGCACCUCCUACCUACCCUUCCCCAGUUUAUUGCUGUAUUCUCUUUAUAUUUCUAUUUACUAAUAUUGUAUUGAUGUUAUAAUAAAAAUUCAAUUAAUAAAGAUUUAG